UGACCGAUAGCGCAUAGUACCGUGAGGGAAAGGUGAAAAGAACCCCGGGAGGGGAGUGAAAUAGAACCUGAAACCCUGUACUUACAAACUGUGGAAGCACAUUUCUUGUGUGACCGCGUACUUUUUGUAGAACGGGCCAACGAGUUACGUUAUGCAGCAAGGUUAAGUACUUCAAGUAUGCAGCCGCAGCGAAAGCGAGUUUUAACUGAGCGUUUAGUUGCAUGACGUAGACCCGAAACCGGGUGACCUAUCCAUGAGCAGGUUGAAGCGAAAGUAAAAUUUCGUGGAGGACCGAACCCACGAGCGUUGAAAAGCUCGGGGAUGACUUGUGGAUAGCGGUGAAAUUCCAAUCGAACCCGGAGAUAGCUGGUUCUCCCCGAAAUAGCUUUAGGGCUAGCCUCAGAUUUAGAGAUACGGAGGUAGAGCACUGAAUGUCCUAGGGGGUAUUGCACCUACCGAAGACUAUCAAACUCCGAAUGCCGUCAUCUUUUAUCUGGGAGUCAGACCGUGGGUGAUAAGAUUCACGGUCGAGAGGGCAACAGCCCAGACCGUCGGCUAAGGUCCCCAAAUGUAGGUUAAGUGGUAAAGGAUGUGGGAUUGCACAGACAACCAGGAUGUUGGCUUAGAAGCAGCCACUCAUUCAAAGAGUGCGUAAUAGCUCACUGGUCGAGUGAUCCUGCGCCGAAGAUUUCCGGGGCUAAAACCUACUACCGAAGCCACGGCAUCAUUAUGAUGGGUAGGGGAGCUUUCUUUACUGGGCAGAAGCAUGACCGUAAGGACAUGUGGACUGUAAAGAAGUGAGAAUGUUGGCAUGAGUAGCGAGAUGUGGGUGAGAAUCCCACAGGCCGUAAACCCAAGGUUUCCAGGGGAAGGUUCGUCCUCCCUGGGUUAGUCGGGACCUAAGCCGAGGCCGAAAGGCGUAGGUGAUGGACAACAGGUUGAAAUUCCUGUACCGCCAAUAAGCGUUUGAGAAAUGGGAUGACACAGUAGGACAAGAUGAGCGUGCUGUUGGUUAUGCACGUCCAAGCACUGAGGCAGUAUCCGGAGGCAAAUCCACGGAUAUAAUGCUGGGGUGUGACGGGGAGCGAAAUUUAGUAGCGAAGCAUCUGCAUUCACACUGUCGAGAAAAGUCUCUAUCGAGUUUAAAGGCGCCCGUACCGCAAACCGACACAGGUGGGUGAGGAGAGUAUCCUAAGGCCAGCGAGAGAACUGUUGUUAAGGAACUCGGCAAAAUGACCCCGUAACUUAGGGAUAAGGGGUGCCAUCGAAAGAUGGCCGCAGAGAAUAGGCCCAAGCGACUGUUUACCAAAAACAUAGGUUUCUGCUAAGUCGCAAGACGAUGUAUAGGAGCUGACGCCUGCCCGGUGCUGGAAGGUUAAGGGGAUCUGUAAGAGCAAUCGAAGCAGUGAACUUAAGCCCCAGUAAACGGCGGCCGUAACUAUAACGGUCCUAAGGUAGCGAAAUUCCUUGUCGGGUAAGUUCCGACCCGCACGAAAGGCGUAACGAUUUGGGCACUGUCUCAACAACAGACUCGGUGAAAUUGUAAUUCCGGUGAAGAUGCCGGAUACCUGCGACAGGACGGAAAGACCCCAUGGAGCUUUACUGUAGCUUGGCAUUGGGUCUUGGUACUACAUGUACAGCAUAGGUGGGAGGCUUUGAUUCCAGGACGCCAGUUUUGGAUGAGCCAUCGUUGGGAUACCACCCCUGUAGUACUGGGACUCUAACCAGAGGCCUUGAAUCAGGUCUUGGGACACUGUCAGGCGGGCAGUUUGACUGGGGCGGUCGCCUCCUAAAAGGUAACGGAGGCGCUCAAAGGUUCUCUCAGCACGGUCGGAAAUCGUGCACAGAGUGUAAAGGCAUAAGAGAGCUUGAUUGCAAGACAUACAGGUCGAGCAAGGACGAAAGUCGGACUUAGUGAUCCGGUGGUUCUGAGUGGAAGGGCCAUCGCUCAACGGAUAAAAGCUACCCUGGGGAUAACAGGCUUAUCUCCCCCAAGAGUCCACAUCGACGGGGAGGUUUGGCACCUCGAUGUCGGCUCAUCACAUCCUGGGGCUGUAGUAGGUCCCAAGGGUUGGGCUGUUCGCCCAUUAAAGUGGUACGCGAGCUGGGUUCAGAACGUCGUGAGACAGUUCGGUCCCUAUCCGUCGCAGGCGUAGGAAAUUUGAGAGGAUCUGCCCUUAGUACGAGAGGACCGGGGUGGACGUACCGCUGGUGUACCAGUUGUCUCGCCAGAGGCAUGGCUGGGUAGCUAUGUACGGAACGGAUAAGCGCUGAAAGCAUCUAAGCGCGAAGCCAGCCUCGAGAUAAGAUUUCCCAUUCUUAGGAAGUAAGACCCCAUGAAGACUACGUGGUUGAUAGGUCGGAGGUGUAAGUGCAGUAAUGUAUGUAGCUUACCGAUACUAAUAGGUCGAGGACUUGACCAA
rnacentral:rRNA from 1 species